rnacentral:lncRNA from 1 species
ACUACUGUGUAACGAAAAAUACUCACUAAAGUGUUUUUCUUCAAAAUAUUUCAGAGAAGGAUAUACAAAACAACGACUCAUGUACCACCAGAGUUAGAACAGAUCAUGGAUUCGGACACAUUUGAGAAAUCACGACUGUAUCAACUGGAUAAAAGUACAUUCAGCUUCUGGUCAGGACUCUAUUCAGAGGUGGAAGGCACUUUUAUUCUUCUCUUUGGAGGAAUCCCUUACCUCUGGAGACUUUCUGGACGGUUCUGUAGUUCUGCUGGCUUCGGACCAGAAUAUGAG